GGUGUUGUGGCUGAGUGGUUAAAGCGCAUCUUUGUGUUGCACGUGGCCUUGGGUUCGAAUCUCGAGCAAAGUAA